AUGAUCUCUCUGGGAUAUAGCCUAGAAGUGCUAUUGCUGGGUCAAAGGGUAUGCACAUUUUUAUAGCUCUUUGGGCUUAUUAACUAUAGCUUUUGAUGAGUGCCAACCUAGGAUGUGGUUUGAAUCCUGACUAGCUUCCUGAGAGGCCCCAUGUGGUCAAGGGGUGGGGCUAGGGGGACUACUUGGGGACCUCAGGUGUUACUCUUAAAAAUCUUUCUUGUUUCAAGGCCUGUCUCAGUAAUGAACUGGAUCAGGUCACAGUCUUCAGACCUGUAACCUCCCAUUCAACAUCCCUAAAGACUUAGGAUGUCAGCUUAGUAGCGUGGCAUAGGGUCACUUAAAAUCUAAAUUCACAACAUAGGCAGCCUCACACUUUGCUUUCCAGGAAGUUCCCAUGUUGGAGGACAAUGACUUCUACAUUUCCAGACUCCUGCAUAUUUCCACAGAGAGGUCAUAAGAAGGGUGACUCUUCUUCCCUGCCAGACCACUGGCUUAUGUCACAAGAGGACCUCUGUAAGUUCUCCCAGCAGGUUUUGAGCUCUGCUGAAAGGGAACUGUGUUUUCCCAGUCAACAAUCAGUCAACCAUGUUGAACAAUUAAAGUGGCUCAUAUAAGGCCCGGGAAGUUGCCAAUAAGAUAAGAAUUUGGUAUCAUAUUACAGCCUUGAAUUUUUUUUAACUCUAUACCAAGUUGGAUUUGCCUUGAGUUUCAAGACAAGGGGAAGUGGGUGUAACCAGUAAAUUUAUAGAACCACUUCCCAGGGUAAUUUCUAAUGUUUAGCCAUAAAUUUUCUAGAAGUAUAAAAGCAGUUACUUUAUCAAUGCCCCACCUCCCCCCAGCACACAAACAGGUCCUCACACCACAGCCUUGUGGAAAGGAAGGGAGUGAGGGUGAGGCUUACCAUACAUGGAACAGGCUGGUGCCUUAUCUCUCUAGCUUGCCCCAGGGAGUGAUGGAGACUGAUGAAAGUGUCCUUCCCUCUUCCUUUUCUCCCUGCUUUUGUGUUCAAUUUCUUUGGACAUGUGCUUUCGUUGCCAGACUAUGUUCUGUGACAACAGCUUCAAUUCUCUCUCCAUCACCCAAGCCAGAGCAACAAAGAAAAAUGUUCUCAGACCCACAUGUAAUGUUUUUCUUGAAACUGAGAGGAGAGACAGACAGACAGACAGAGAGACAGAGAGAGACAGAGACAGAGACACAGAAAGAGACAGAGACACGAGAGAGACUGAGACAGAAAGAGUCAUAAGAAUGCAUUCUGCUACACUGUGACAGGAAAUUCAAAACAACAACAAAAAAAAGAAGGCUGGUGGGGGUGGAGAGUCCAUAAAGAAGUCUCCAGGGGUCGUAGGAAAUAAUAGAACACAUGAGAAAUAGAACAAAAAAAAAUUGCUGUGAUGCCAAGAAUAGUUUUAGAAGCAAUGCCUUCUGUGCCAUUUUACUUGCUGGUAGAAUCCUGCUUGGGGGAAUAAUCCUACAUGUCUAGCACAAGGUUUUGUACAUAAUGGGCACAAAAUAAACAUCUGUGGAAUUGAAUCUGAGAAAGCAUGCUAUAAUGGGAAAAAUGCUGUUUCUGGAGCCAGAGGGCCUGAGUUCCAACCCCACUCCUGACACCUCUGGACGGGUGAUCGCAGGGAAAAGGACCAGAAGAAAAUGGGCUUAUGUUAUUUCACAAAGGACUUGGAGCAGAUGUAAAGAAGAGUUUUCUGAUGUCGAAGUUUCUGAGGCACUGAGAUGUCAAGGGAGAAGUUUAAGCAAAGAGCAGACACAUGUUACUUAGGUUGAUUUAGAUGUGGUCUUUCCUGAGGAUAAAGAAAUAACUUAGGCCACCUUUUGAGAUUUCUUCCAGGCCUAUGAGUCUAUAAUUUUAACUGUAAAGGAAAGUGAAUGUCCAUUUUAAAAUACAUUGAUUUUUGAGAAGUCUCUCUGCGAUGUUAUUUAUUUGUAUAUGAGAUAGAGAAGAAAUGAGGAACCUUUGUUCUUUAGAAAACCAAAAAGUUGCUCCAAGGAUUCCUCAUGAGAAUGUUAGUUAUUAUUUUUUGUUUCAUUUUUUCAUUUCUUUUUUUUUCUUUUUGCUCUCUCCCAGCUUUCCUCCCCUAUUGAAAAGAG